rnacentral:lncRNA from 1 species
AAUAAUGCUGCGUAUUAUUUAUUUAACACCAACUUGAGCCAGCCACUGUGUUGGUGUUAUUCUUUACAAUUUUAAUCUGAUUUAAUCUUUAAUAUCACUCUCACUUCACAGAUGAGGAAAUAGAAGUCCAGAGAGUAAAGCAGAUUGCUCAAAGCUAAUAAUGAUGACAGGAAUCAAAGCCAGGUAGGACUGAUUCCAAAACCACCAGUUCUCAGUCACUGCCUUUCCACACACGUCAGAUUGCAGAUUUCUGUUGACUUUUCUCAGUCUCCCUCUGAUGAUUUAUAAUUGGUACACCCAACAUAUAACACACUGAGAAGAGUUUCUUUGAGUUUAUAAUAUACAAAUCAUGCAGGUUUUUGAAUGGCAAUUUGUCUUCUCCCUUCUCUUUCAGAGACAGUAAUAAAUAUGGUUGUUUACACCUCUGUACCUCAUAAAGACCUCCAAGCAUUCUGUACACCAGCUCAAGAUGACUUGCUUGAAAUGGAAAAAGGCUGUUUUCAGCAGUAGUUAGCCCCUAUACUGGCAGUGUUUCACAGAAAAGGAAAGUGAAGCUUGGAAAAGUGAAACCACUUGCUCUAAGUGGCAGGAAGAGGUGGCGUUGAACCCCAGGGCUCUUGCAUUCAAAAGCUCUUUUGGAAAGAGAAAAGGAAAAGUGCAGCUGACUGAACUGUGAAGCAAAGGAGCUAAGAAGCCUGGAUGCCAACCCCAAGGGUCCUGAAGAGUCCCAUUGAGGAGCUCCUUACAGCAGAAAGCCCAUUUCUCAGAGGCACAUACAUGGUCCAGAGCCAAGAAGGUCCAGAAAGCAAGACUGCAUCCUUCACCAAGGAAGGUGAUUGUGAUGUGGACACUUCAAGGGGGAACAAAAAAAAAUCUUCCUUUGAAAACCUAACAUUGGCUCUGCCAAUUCAAUUUCACCGAGGUCCUUUGAGAACUGAGUUCAAAGGUUCUCUACAGCUUCCAUUUACUUUGGCAUAAGAUUUAACAGAAAAAGAAUUAAGGGAGAAUUUAUAUGGGCCAGGCUGUUUUCCAAAUCUCAGACUGCUAAAAGUUAUUUAGAAUUUGCUUUAACUUGCAAUCCUAUGUAAAGUGGUUCAGAUGUAAAUGCUUUCCGUGUGGCCUGAGGCAAUCUAGGUUUCCUCAAAUGCACAUGUGCCAUUCGAAUAUUAAAGAUUUUGAUUGGAAAUCUCAAAGUACAUUGGGUUCCUCUUGAUUAGAGACUGCUGUUACUUUAUGCGACAUUGGGUCAGAGGAGGAGAAAUAAAACAUACUGCCUUCAUUUGGGCAUUAUAUUCUCACAGUAGCUCUAACAUAAACAAACUUCACAGGCUGAGAGAAGGGCAUUUGCUCCUUUAAAUUGAGUAUGUAAUGUAAAUAAAUGUCUUCUAAGAAAGGAUGGCUGAAACUUGAUUCUGAGUCUGAACCUAUACAAGGGCACUAAUUUAUUUUAAUGAAGAUCAGUGUGGAGCAUCUGUGGGAGUGCUUGCCUUCUUGAGAUCAGAGCUGGUCUGAC